UACGUAGGUCCCGAGCGUUGUCCGGAUUUAUUGGGCGUAAAGCGAGCGCAGGUUGUUUAAUAAGUCUGAUGUGAAAGCCCACGGCUCAACCGUGGAGGGUCAUUGGAAACUGGGAGACUUGAGUGCAGAAGAGGAUAGUGGAAUUCCAAGUGUAGCGGUGAAAUGCGUAGAUAUAUGGAGGAACACCGGUGGCGAAAGCGGCUCUCUGGACUGUAACUGACACUGAGGCUCGAAAGCGUGGGUAGCAAACAGG
rnacentral:rRNA from 1 species